UGAAAAUAAAAAUAACUGUACUACCUACAAACAAAUGUACCCCCAUCUGAUCUUGUUGCAUCUACAAAUAUCCCCAGGUAAUCCAGAUAAAUCUGCAAGAAAUCCCCCAUCUAACAUUGUCGAACUUGUUAACAACCCAGAUAUUGUUGAGUACUGGAAAAUGCAAAUGGUCAUAAUGGUCAGAGCACCCAAAGAAAACCCA